UAUCGAUAGUCCUUACUUUUGUCGUACGCAGCAAAUAGGUAUUCGUUUUGCAUGGCAUUUGCUUCAAAUUGUUGCCGUUAAUUCGCAUAUUUAUAAUCUAGUUAUAGUUAUUUUCUCCAUGAGCUUCUUUUGCUAAAAUGCUUAUGAUACAGUCUUUGUUCUUGAAGCCUGUGAUCUGUCAGUAUGAUUAGGUUGCACUGUACAUGUUAGGAAAUGUAUUCAUUUACCUGGCUAAGUUAUUAUUCAGAAUUGUCAGGAUGUAGCACAUGCUAAAUAUGAAACUGUAUUCUCCUUGUCUACAUUUCAUUCAAUAUAUCUGAAUUUGUUUACUUUAUCCUGUAAUGCAGAAAACAGCUAAUAAGUGAUUCUGGAAGAGUAUUUAAGUCAAAAAUUCCGGAGCAGAUAAGGGAAGACCUGAUUCAAUCCUUUAUAUUAUACUUCCAUGACAUAUUUGAUGGAUGCUAAAGCUUUUUCGUGGAAUUUUUUGUAAAGGUGGCGGUGGAAUCCUGUUGGUCUACUACUCUACUACGAGCUACUUGUGCCUUCUGCUGCUUAUUUUUUUUAGGAAAUUUUUGUUUUCUAAGAUGAGAUGAGAAGUAGAGUGGCCAACUCAGUUUGCUUUCGUUCUAUUUGCUAUGGGCUUGUAACCCCAGUCUCGUUCCACCCCUUCUGUUUGUACUAUGCAGCAAAUUAUCUCUGUCUUUCUAAUAGACAUACCAUAGAUGGUACACUAUGAGUUACCACAAUGUACUCUAUGGAACAGUAUCAAAGGACAAAAUGCUUAAGAAAAUUUUCCUUUAUCCAA